AUUUCCGGGUCAGGUGUCUGUCUGCGCAGAGUAGCGACAGAGUGCUCCGUCCUCCUUUUUGCUCUUGGGUCCUCUCAACCGGUGGUAAGUGUUCUCCCUCUCCGUGUUAGACCGAACGAUAUUCUGUGGCUAACGUUAUUGUGGUCACAGGUAGAUGUCUUCCUGCCGUGUGGGUUUUUCUCUCCCUCCCUCUCCCUGUGCAGGUUUGACCUGGGAAACAGCGGCUGUAGGCUGGUGGUGGCGGCGGUGGUGUGGGUGGUGGUGGUGGUCCUCUUCGUGUGUCGUGUCCCAUUGGAUUGUUGUGCUAUCACUGGGUGAACUCUGGUUUGGUUUUCUCUAAGUUUGUUCUAUUAAUUUUCCUUCCCCUUCACCGGCGCUUCUCACCAUUAGGCCUUAGCGAUUAGUUUUCUUUUCUUAUUUUGUGAGGAAUGUUAGAUUUUACGGGAAUGUAUAUUUAUUGAAUAAAA
ensembl:lncRNA